rnacentral:misc_RNA from 1 species
UCCGAGUUGACCCCGGCAGUCUCCUGAGAGUGCCCGGCAUUACCCGGUAGCAACACAGGACAAGGGUUGCGCUCGUUGCGGGACUUAACCCAACAUCUCACGACACGAGCUGACGACAGCCAUGCACCACCUGUGGCCCUGCCCCGAAGGGAAGCCCUGUUUCCAGGGCGGUCAGGGUCAUGUCAAGCCCAGGUAAGGUUCUUCGCGUUGCGUCGAAUUAAACCACAUGCUCCGCUGCUUGUGCGGGUCCCCGUCAAUUCCUUUGAGUUUUAGCCUUGCGGCCGUACUCCCCAGGCGGGGCACUUAAUGCGUUAGCGCCGGCACGGGAGGAGUCGACACCUCCCACACCUAGUGCCCAUCGUUUACGGCGUGGACUAC